rfam:Oryza barthii chromosome 12, whole genome shotgun sequence.
GAUAUCAACUGAAAAAGUCAUCAACAACAAAGUUGAAUAACUCAUCAAGAUCUAAAACUUUUAUUUUGGUCAUUUCUUCAUACGACAAAGUGAUAGUAANAUUNUUCACAAAAUUGACAUAUCUCUUAUCUGNUUUUUUAUAAACUAUAACACAUAUAUGUAAAAUUUGUGAAUAAUAUUACUAACAUUUCGUCAGAUGAAGAAAUAACAAAAAUAAAAGUUUUAGAUCUUGAUGAGUUAUUCAACUUUGUUGUUGAUGACUUUUUCAAUUGAAAUC